rnacentral:lncRNA from 8 species
AUUUUCCAUUUGUUUUGUCUUUGUCUUACACACCUGGUUUCAAUUCCCCAAUUACUUGUUCAUUAUUUAACCCUCUGUUCCCCUAUGUUUUUUGGUGAGUAAUUGUUUAUUGUAUUGCGGUCCGUAUUUUGUGGCCUUGUAUUUUUACAACGUGUAUUGUGAUAUUAUUGAGUAAAAUUGCUUUCAUGACUCAUAUCUGCUGUCCUGCGCCUGACUCAUCUCACCAGCUAUACAAAGACACUUUACAUGGGCAAAUAAGACAAUGAAACAUGGAAGAUAUGCAACCUUGGUUAACGCAGCAAACAAGCUGGUACAUAGGUUCCACAAGGUAGGAGUGUACCCCCUGCUACUCCUCAGCAAAAGGAAGGAUAACAUUUUGUCGUCAACUGCACUGUGUCAGACCUCAAUGGCAGCAAUCCAAAGGUUGUAUGAGGCAAUUGUGAAAGGUAUUUGGACAGAAAUAUGUAUGUUUGUCUACCUUAAGACCCUAUCCCUCAACCACCACAUCCGUCAGACUGUAAAAACCAAAUUAUUCCACUUACGCAAAUUCACCAAAGUCAGCCCCUCCCUCUCCUGUCCUGCUGGCUGAAACUCUCAUCCAUGCUUUCUUCUUCUCCCGAAUAGACUAUUGCAACUCACUACUCCCCGGCACUAACACAAACUCCCUCGAUAAGCUCCAAAUGGUUCAAAACUCAGCAGCCCAUCUCCUAACCCACACUAAAUCAUCCUGGCAGCAUAUCACCCCCAUCCUCUGUGAACUCCACUGUCUCCCUGUCUCCCACCGCAUUAAUUACAAGAUCCUUCUGACCUAAAAAGCUCUCCACCACCUUGCUACCCCUGACCUCUCUGACCUUCUUCUCUCCUACCAGCCCUCAUGCUCUCUCCGCUCAACCACAGUUGGCCACCUUGUCAUCCCCAGGUCCAAGCUCCAGAGUUUCAGUGACAGGGCCUUCUCCAGGGUUGCUCCUAGGCUCUGGAACUCCCUCCCCCCAGCCAUCCGUGGCUCUUGAGUCCAUCGUCAUCUUUCAGUCCCGCCUAAAAACCCAACUCUUCACCAUGGCCUAGCCUUACCUCCCCCUCCACCAUUCCCACACACACCUCUUCUGUUUCACACCCUCGCACACACACACUCACACAUACGCGCAACACCUGCUCGCUCACUCACCUGCUGUUUCACUCACAUACUCACACAUCACACCCUUUCCUUGAGCCCUUCCUACCUCUAUUUAGCCCCGUUUAUACCUGGUUCUAACAUGCAUUAUAUGUCCUGAUCUUGUCCACAGUUUGAUUGUUCCCACAUUUUCAGACAGGUGUAAAGGAUUAAAAGAAGCAUUGUGAUCAGAUUUUCCUGACCGCGUCUGGAGUUGACAGUGAAACCAUUAAAAUCAUCCCGUCUUCUAAAAUCAUUGACAGGUGGCACCAUUGACUUAUGGAAUAUAUAUGUGUCUUAAAAUAAAUAAAUAAGUAUUAUUUUGAAAGAAUAUCUGUCAAAGAUUAGCAUACAAGGCGGGACCAGUAAAUCUGUUCACAAUGCGGACACAGUGGACUGACAAGACCACGUGUAGACGCAUUUCUAAAAAUGUGGGCACAAUCAGAAUGUGGACAAGAUCAGGACAAAGGAUGCAUGUUUGCGCCAAAGUAUUUUGUUUAAUGUUUUUCUUCCUUUUCUUUAGUCUGCUGUUGUUUAGUUAGAUUAUUUAUUGUUUGUUUGUCACAAUGGGUGGCCUGAGGAAUCAGGAGAGGUGGAGACAGGCGCAGGAGACAGAUGAUUCCGGGAAUACACUUUUAAUAAAUAUUUGCACGGAAAAAAUGACAAAAGAACGGAGUGCAGGGUGUGCUAAAUAAAAGGCACCACCCUCUUACGAACGAUAACCAGGGACGCAGCCCAAAACAAUACUUCGUAAUCCCAAGAGGGAAAACCACUGAUCCUCAUAAACAACAUACAACCCGGACAACAAACAAUCCCCUACAAACCUAACUAGCUAGGCUAAAUACCCUUCCCCACUAACAACUAAUACAAAACAGGUGCGUAACUAACCUAGGCCUAACUAACAGAACGUGAAACAUAAAUCAGUGGCAGCUAGUAGGCCGGCGACGACGACCGCCGAGCGCCGCCCGGGCGAGGAGGGGCGCCACCUUCCAUAGGUGUCGUGACAUUGUUAGUUUCUACAGUUGUAAAGCUAUGUAUGUUUCAUGUAUAAUUAUUGUUAUUAUUAAAGUAGAGGAGUUAGUUCAGGCAAGCAACAUUUCAACACAUUCUUUUCACAUAUCCUGUGUAAAAGUUUAUUUAUAAAUUGGGUGGUUCCAGCCCGUAAUGCUGAUUGUCUGAAAGCCUUGGUAUAUCAGACCGUAUGACAAAACAUUUAUUUUUACUGCAAUAAGGCACCUCGGGGGUUUGUGGUAUAUGGCCAAUAUACCACGGCUAAGGGCUGUAUCCAGGCACUCCGCAUUGCGUCAUGCGUAAGAACAGCCCUUAGCUGUGGUAUAUUGCUAUAUACCACACCUCCUCGGGCCUUAUUGCUUAAAUAAACAUGCUCACCUCUGCCAAUGGAAACUGUUGCCCACUUGUCUGUCCCAUUCCCUUAAUAUGUUCUAUUUCACAGUGGCAAUCAACACCCAUGCCCCCACACUACAACCCUCCAACCCUCCUCCUGUUGCUGCCUAAGAACUCUCUGAUACAGUUGCUCCCCAGGAGACCAGCUACACCCCCAUCCUCACCCAGGUUGAACCCCCGAUAUCCCCCACCACCCAGGAGACCAGCUACACCCCCAUCCUCAACCAGGUUGAACCCCCAAUAACCCCCACCACCCAGGAGACCAGCUACACCCCCAUCCUCAACCAGGUUAAACCCCCGAUAUCCCCCACUGCCCAGAAGACCAGCUACACCCAAACCAAGCCAAAGAAGACGGGGAGAAAGUCCUGUCACCCUGUCACCGUCAAAAAACCCUCCAACUCGCUGAGCAUGACACAGUCAAUCCCAUCCAACCCCAUCCAACACCGACCAAGGAAGAGGAAAUAUGACUACAUGCAAAAACAUAAAUCAGUAUCUAACUUAUAUUGUUUAUUCAUAAAUGUUAAUGAUGUCAAUAACUUCAUUUAUGUUUUUAAUAAAUUAAUGAAACAAUUCCAGUGAUUCAUAGUCCCCUACUUUUCAGGAGGCAGGCAUACUGUACACUCUUAGAAAAAAGGAUUCCAACAGCUGUCCCCAAAGGACAACCCUUCUGGUUCCAUGUAGAACCCUUAAGACAAAGGGUUCUACAUGGAACCAAAAGGGUCCUACCCGGAACCAAAAAGGUUUCUCCUAAGGUGACAGCCAAAUAACCAUUUCUAAGAGUGUAGUCUAAGGCUAGGCAUAGAUGUAAAAUGAAUAAUGCAAAUGACUGUCCCGCUAACUUUAUUUAUGUUCUGGUGGGUGGUGAUUAAAUAAAUACAUGGAUUCAUUGUUUCAGAGUGUCCAGUGCAUCCGGGGCAAACGAUUUUCCCUAUUCUCAAGAUUCUUGCCAAUAGAACUUCAAAGGAGGUAAAUCUGCAGUACAUUUAAAUUCCUGGGACUGUAUUUACAGGCUAAUCCUAGUGCAACACCAAUUGUAGUUAACUUGCAGUGCAUAGACCUUGUAGUUAAAGUGGCAAUAUGUA